AUAUUACAGACACUCUAUCAACUACAACAACAACAACAUCGUUGGAUUUAGAGGAUACUAAUGUUGGGGGUAUUGUUGGUGGAAUAGUUGGUGUUAUAUUAGUUAUUGCUAUAGUCGGUGCUGUCAUAUUCUUUUAUAAAAGAAGAGACCAAACAGAUAAGUCACCAACUACAGCUGUCCAUGUUAGUAGAAAUGUUCCAAAUCAACGACAUCAAACUGACUCGGCCUUACCUAGAAACAAAACCCCUCAUUAUUCAGAUAACGAGUUGGAUAAUACCACGUGCCCUUCAAGUGAUCAUUAUAAUUAUGUUGGACAGACAACUGACGAGGAUAACUACCACCAUAUUGGAGAUAACCAAUCAAACACCGUUACUGAUGAUGCCUACAAUCAUAUUGGUGAACAUAAUAAAACUGGUCUGGAUAGUGGUGGCUACCAUCAUAUUGGUGGUAAUCUCGGACGUCAAGGGAUAACGGACGUCACAUACAAUCAUAUUGGUGGUAGUCAUGGACACCCAGUUGUUGCUGAUGGUACUUACAACCAUAUAGGGGGGAGUCAUGGACAUCCAGUUGUGGCUGACGGUACAUACAACCACAUUAGUGAUAGCAAUGGGCACCCAGUCGUGGCUGAUGGUACAUACAACCAUAUUGGGGAUAGCCAUAAACAUUCAGUCGUGGCUGAUGGGACAUACAACCAUAUUGGUGAUAGUCAUGGACAUCCAGCCAUGGCUGAUGGUACAUACAAUCACAUUGAGGGCGACCAUACCGUUGAUAAACAAGAAGGGAAUUAUUCAUUGGCUAAACAUAAAUAAUAUAAUAUAAAUAAAUCAAUCAGUGGGUACAAAACAUAAAUAUAUGACUUGGUACAUAAUUACUAGUAUGUAGAACAGUAAAUUAUUGUUGUACUUAAUAUACCUAUUAAAUAAUAAAUUAGCAUAUCUAUUGAACAUGA